rnacentral:rRNA from 1 species
ACACGACUACAUUAGAUACCCGCGUAGUCCUAGCCGUAAACGAUACUCGCUAGGUGUCGGCCACGGUGCGACCGUUGUCGGUGCCGUAGGGAAGCCGUGAAGCGAGCCACCUGGGAAGUACGUCCGCAAGGCUGAAACUUAAAGGAAUUGGCGGGGGAGCACAACAACGGGUGGAGCUUGCGGUUUAAUUGGAUUCAACGCCGGAAAUCUUACCGGGACCGACAGCAACAUGAAGGCCAAGCUGAAGACUUUGCCGGAUUAGCUG